rnacentral:rRNA from 1 species
GACAGAGGGUGCAAACGUUGUUCGGCCUUACUGGGCGUAAAGCGUGUGUAGGCGGUCGUGUAAGUCGGGUGUGAAAGCCCGGGGCUCAACCCCGGAAGUGCACUCGAAACUGCAUGGCUCGAGUACCGGAGAGGUUGGUGGAAUUCUCGGUGUAGAGGUGAAAUUCGUAGAUAUCGAGAGGAACACCGGUGGCGAAGGCGGCCAACUGGACGGAUACUGACGCUGAGACACGAAAGCGUGGGGAGCAAACAGG